GACGAACGCUGGCGGCGUGCUUAACACAUGCAAGUCGAACGGAAAGGCCCUGCUUUUGUGGGGUGCUCGAGUGGCGAACGGGUGAGUAACGCGUGAGUAACCUGCCCUUGACUUUGGGAUAACUUCAGGAAACUGGGGCUAAUACCGGAUAGGAGCUCCUGCUGCAUGGUGGGGGUUGGAAAGUUUCGGCGGUUGGGGAUGGACUCGCGGCUUAUCAGCUUGUUGGUGGGGUGGUGGCUUACCAAGGCUUUGACGGGUAGCCGGCCUGAGAGGGUGACCGGCCACAUUGGGACUGAGAUACGGCCCAGACUCCUACGGGAGGCAGCAGUGGGGAAUAUUGCACAAUGGGCGGAAGCCUGAUGCAGCAACGCCGCGUGCGGGAUGACGGCCUUCGGGUUGUAAACCGCUUUCGCCUGUGACGAAGCGUGAGUGACGGUAAUGGGUAAAGAAGCACCGGCUAACUACGUG
rnacentral:rRNA from 1 species